ACGAACGCUGGCGGCAUGCCUAACCCAUGCACGUCGAACGAGACCUUCGGGUCUAGUGGCGCACGGGUGCGUAACGCGUGGGAACCUGCCCUUAGGUUCGGAAUAACUCCCCGAAAGGGGUGCUAAUACCGGAUAAUGUCUUCGGACCAAAGAUUUAUCGCCUUUGGAUGGGCCCGCGUUGGAUUAGCUAGUUGGUAGGGUAAAAGCCUACCAAGGCGACGAUCCAUAGCUGGUCUGAGAGGAUGAUCAGCCACACUGGGACUGAGACACGGCCCAGACUCCUACGGGAGGCAGCAGUGGGGAAUAUUGGACAAUGGGCGAAAGCCUGAUCCAGCAAUGCCGCGUGAGUGAUGAAGGCCUUAGGGUUGUAAAGCUCUUUUACCCGGGAUGAUAAUGACAGUACCGGGAGAAUAAGCUCCGGCUAACUCCGUG
rnacentral:rRNA from 1 species